rnacentral:rRNA from 1 species
UACGUAGGGUGCAAGCGUUGUCCGGAAUUAUUGGGCGUAAAGGGCUCGUAGGCGGUCCAUCGCGUCGGGAGUGAAAAGCUGGGGCUUAACCCCAGUCCUGCUUCCGAUACGGGUGGACUAGAGGUAGGUAGGGGAGAACGGAAUUCCGGGUGUAGCGGUGGAAUGCGUAGAGAUCCGGAAGAACACCGGAGGCGAAGGCGGCUUGCUGGACCUGGUCUGACGCUGAGGCGCGAAAGCGUGGGGAGCGAACAGG